GUGCUCGCUUCAGUAGGACAUAUACUGAAAUUGGAAUGAUACAGAGAAGGUUAGCAUGGCCCCUGCGCAAGGAUGACAUGCAAAUUUGUGAAGCAUUCCAUAUUUUU
rnacentral:snRNA from 1 species